CAGACUUGCUGAUAAAUUGACACUUCAGAAAGUGGAGGUUAACAUCAGAGGAAAGCUCAUAAAGAGGUUGCGCUGCAAAUUUUGAGAAUGGCUUCUUUUGGAAAGGAUGAGUUGUUUAACAACCAUUUCCACAUGAACAAUGUUCAUUAAUAAACAAUGAAUCAUCACCAUCAAAACCAU